UCUCCCUGCUGCUGCCUCACUGCGUGAGAAGGUUGGGAUGCUUCAGCUGACCUCCCCUCCCAUUAUACUUUCCCUGAAAGAAGGGCUUGAGAUCCUUGAAUGAAAAGGCAUGUACUGGCUACCUCACCUAAAAUACCUUUGCUUAUGUCUUUGUAACAGGCACUGCCAAAAUUAUAUCCUCCUCCUGGCGUAGCCACCAUGUCCACAAGAAGCAGUGUUAUAUCUUAGGCAGAAGAGGUUAUUUAUUUACACACCCGCAGCUGUUUCCAGGUGCAGGAGCCGUGCAGUGCAGAAAAGGCACACAUGCUGAUCCCGGGUCUCUGUCCAUGAGCAGAGAGAUGAGGUGCAGCCUUUGAUGUUAAUGCAGAAAAUGUCUUUCAUCAGUGCAAGCCCAGCAGUUGUCUUGAAAAUGUUUUCCAUUGGUUUGAUGGUUUGCUUUCCAACUCUGUGAGCUGGCAACCCAAAAGGUAUGUUGGAAUCCAUACGGAUGCUGCGUCUCUGUGGAGACUUCCCCAUGACCCAUUUUCUGGUUCAAAGAUAAUCUUGCUUUUCGUCACAAUUUGGAGCAGUUCCACUUGGCUGUUGGACUCAAGAUACUCUCGCUCCCUACGCCCUGCCAAGGUGAUAUGCCAAAUAUGCAUCUUUUUUUUGAUUCAGCCUUGCGAUUACUUCACUUUAGAAAAAAAUUGUGUAAAUGACAGCCUGGAAGAUUAGAAAUUGUUUUUCAGAGGUCAAGGGGAGUAAUUGAAUUUGUAGUCACUUUCAUUGAAGUUAGGAAAACCAGAGUGUUAAGGCAAGCCAUCAUUGCGUUUGCUGGAAGAGUUACUGAAGAGUAUGUAUUUCAUGUUUGUGUAUUCACUUUUGCUUUUUUAGAAGGUGUUGCUGUGUCGUCUUUGCAGUUAGUCUUCAGCCGUCACAAACCCUGCCUAAGCAAAGAUGUGAAUUUUUAGCGCAGAACAAAAAAUGAAACAUCAGAGCAGAGGUACAAAGUGGUGAAAAGAAAACUAAUCCUCCUCGCCCACCUGGCCAUCUUCACCCAUCAUAAAGAUGCAAAACUAGGGCACAAAUCCUAUUUAUUUUCCCUUGGGAGGUCACUCCUAGCUGGCUUUACAGAGGCCCAACUUGUGUCUUUGCCACCCAGAAAGCUUUGAAAUACCACUUCCAGAGAUGAGAGAUCUUGUCUCUGUAAGUUGCAGGUAACAGUCCCCCUCCAGGCUCUGCCCAAUGGAUUUUGACCUGUGUAUUGCAUCCUGCGCUGCUUGAACAAAACUGCAUCUGCUUGUAUUUUCAGCAUAAUGUCCUCUGAUUGAUAACUCUCAAGUCUUCAGUCAUCCCAAAAUCACGUUUGCAAGAGGACUGAUUAAUGAAUGUCUCUGCUGCUGAGGGAAAUGUCAUUUCUUCUUUGGUGUAAUCUUUGGAAUAACUUCCUAAAAACAAGAACAAAGAACAACAAAAAAGGCCCCGAGAUGCAGGUUCCGUGGCUGAUCUUUCCUUCCCUUUAUACCACAAGACAAAUUAUCCUGUAUGUACAUCCACAAUACAUGCCCUAAUCUGUAACGGAGUAUCAGACUAAUUUUCUUUCCAAAAUGUCAUUCUUAAAGCCAAGGAAACGCCAACACUGCGCCCUGCUCCCUACGCCUACCUUUACCUGCUGCAGCGUGGCUGGCAGUCCUGCUGCACAACUGCUCCCAUCAGGGCCGUGGGCCUCGGCGUCCAAGGAACCAGGGCUUUUAUCUCAUGCCUGGGGAAUUCAAGCACUUGCCUUCCUUUCCGUUAAUCUGGUGAACGAGGGAGAGCUUGGAGACAAGCCUCCACCCAGAAUGGUUUUUUUAGCCUCUUGGUGCUGCAGCCUCCCAGGACAAAGGCAACAGAAGGAGUGCGUGGGUGCAGAGCAGGACAUAUCGCCACCACUGCUCGGCAUCCCAAAAGAAGCACAGUGCCUGUUCAGUUGUGAAGAGCCGUGGAUGGAGCCACCUCUUGAAGAGAAGCGAUGGGGGCUACGCGUCCCAGAAAGGCUGAGGCGUUUCCAUACAACUCUGUCGCAGCCCUGGGCGUUCAGCUGCAGGCAUCUCGCAGCUCAGCGGGCUGGUUAGUGAGACUUCUCCCCAUCCUUGGAUGGGGUGCCUGGACGUGUUAACCACUCCCUGGAGGAGGACCGCUUAACGGUUAGAGCUUUCAGUGCCAAAAUCCUUUAUUAGGCAGCCUUCAGGUUGCUGGUGGGCUGCACGGCUCCUUGAAGCUGCAGCUCCUAAUCCUCGGCGCUGGGAGGUGGAUGCACGCAGGUACUCCCGGCACGCUGUGCUUUCCAGGAAGCUCCUGAAGCAGAGGCAGCAUAUGGCUGUGCCUCUGAAAGGGAAGUAAGCAGACACGGGACUUGGACAAACUGCAGGUUUUCUCGUUCUACGCACGCCAAUUUGCUCCCCACUGGAGAAGAGUAAGGGCUUUAGCUCUCCAAUCAGUCUCAGGAGAUCCUUCAGUCUCCAAGGCUGCACACCAGCUUCUGGACCAGCCAGCUUCUGCCUGCUUCUGUAGGAGUUCUGCUCAGAGCUGAUCACCCUCAGUAGUGCUGUAAAGAUGAAAGGAUGACUUACAGUCAGUACUUUCCUGCAAGUUAUGACAAGUUGCGAGAGAAGGCCAGCCUGUGUUUUUUGGAAGAUGAUGAGAGCGUGCUCUCAUUUGCUGGUACCACAGCCACCGUAGUGAAGGCAGGGGCUACUUUACUCAGCAGCUGUUACUUCCGAGAGCUUUGUAACUGUUGUCCAAACUUGAAUCAACUGAAGUCGCUGUGCCUCAGCGGUGGGUCUGAGGCAGCAUCAGUGAUUCAGAAUUCAGGUGGAGUGAGGAAGCAAUUACCCAAAUACAGGUCCUACCACCCCUUCCCUCCUCCCCACGCGGUGUCACAUAAAAAAGAUACGUGCUCAGCGGUGGGAUCAGAAUAUGGCUCCGAUUCUUCCACAGUUCCUGAGGAUUAGUCGCAGCUAGUGUCUGGCAGUCAUCAUCUCUCUGGACAGAGAUCUCAUCACUACGCUCCUGUCGCUUUGGCUCAAGCUGUAGAGAAAGGAAUAGCUUUUGGCACGUACGCAGCUGGAAUGAGCUUUCAUUGGCAGCUGGAGGCUCGUUAUUGCGCCUUCCCUUCUCGCUCCCUGAUCUAAUGAGGCUGCUGGUGAGGAGAUGGGAUCAGAUGCCACAGCCCUCGCAUCUUCCUUACACGGUGCUCGGAGAGGGCAGGACUUGCGUGGUGCCCCUGGGCUGCUCCUGGGGUUUUCUCUUGCUGAGAAGCUUGGGGUUCUGGCCCACACGCUCUCUGAGAGCUGGGAUGUCAGUGUGCUCCCACGUCCCUGUACAAGUAUGCACUUUAUCUGAAUACUAUUUUCAAAAAAAUACUUCAAAUAGAAGGUAAAAAGUAAGUGCUGCUGAGCUGGAGAUGCAGUUAUGCAGCACAUCUCCUUGCUCCUUUCCUGGCUGUCAGGAAGACACAUGAAGACUAGCCGCUGUCGGAUCUCUCAUCAGAACCCCACGAUGGAAAUCCGUCUUGAUGUGGGGGAGUGUUGAAAAGCUGUUGGCCAGAUCUCCCUUCAUGGGACAAGGCUGAGGGAGUUGAACUUAAGAGCGCAGCGCCAUGAAAUAAUACAGUGAUUUCUUCCCAUGGAUGUAGUGACUAACAGUCAUAAACAACUUGGUUCCAGUCCUCUGCUAUCAACCUUAAAGAGGGGGGGGGGAAAAAAUUGAAGCAGCAAAAAGAGUGGCUCUGCAAUGAGUACACAAAAUAGAUGACAUGCAUUUUCUCCUUCCGUAUUGGAGAGGCCAUAUGAAGAAGCAGAAGUGACCUUGGGUUUUUUUGUAAUGUUUGUCCAGCCUGAUUUUUAUCCCAUUUGUGUAUCCUUUAGUUCCAUAAAUACAAGAGCACUGUAUACUUUAAUAAAUGCAUGCUAAUGCCCUGCAGAUAAUGGGGUGACAUCGUCUCUUUGAAGAAACAUCCUCCAUAUGAUUGUCAAUCUUUUCACUGAGAGCAAGCAGGUAGCAAGCACACGUGACACGGGUGAAUACGCUAGGCUCAUCCGAGUACCGAGGCAAGUUUUUAUGCAGUAAGAACUUCAUGAAAAUACAGGAAUGAGGAUGUGAAGCGAAGCGCAGUACUGGGCAAGGUACCGUAUUGCCUCAGAAGGGAGAACUGACAAGUAAGACGUAAGUCCCAGUUUUGAAGCUAUUUCUUUGCCUGACGUUGGUGUCUGUGCUCGUGGAAAGGGCAAGAGGCAGCCAUCAGCCAGAAGUCAAAGGGUUACACCUUCAGCCUUCUUAAAACCCAUCCUUGGGGAUAAAGUCACAUCCCUUUGCCUGCUCCGUUCAUUCAAAUGGUGACUCUGUAAGGACAAUUCCGACAGUGCCAGGCAGCAAUAAGAUUAACCACUUUCUCAUUUGCAGGAUGCCAGCAGCUGGUCUCACCAAUUUCAGGCCCCAUCAAAUUAACGAUCAGCUCUCUUUUAUUCUCUUACUGGCAGGAUUGCUCAGCCCAGGCUAUCUGAAAGGACCAGGAUCAUUGUCCCAUGCAGAUGCAGGGAACACCCUCGUUUACAGUGAUGUUAGGCGUUUUUCUCCUUCACACUGAGCUGUGUAAUGUGGCCAGGAGGUUGCUCUCAAAGGGGAAAUUAUUUUUUCAGGGGGAGAGGAGGCAAGAUGGCUCCACCACACGUACCAGGCAGCGUGGGUUAGCAGCAGAGCAAGCGGUGCUCACGGGUAGCCAGCCUGAACAGCGCCAGCAAGGCUAUGUUGGAAAGGCUGCUUUUGGGGAAUCCCCAGAGGGGGGAAGGAGCAAGCGUGGAUUUCCCUAGCCUGGGAUCCAGCUGCACAUCUGCACCAGAGCUCCCAGCUGCCUCGGACUUCUCUUGGCACUCUCCUUCCACUCAGCUUUUUGAGGUUCGUGGUGUCUCUGGUGGCUUUUGACUGUAUGAUGUUUUGGAGUAUAUGGCUUAUGGGGUCAGGACAGCUGUUUACAUCAACUCUAGUGAAUCCUGAACUAGGAAGUACUCUCUGUGACACCAAAAUUUUGAUGAAGAUGGAAUAUUCUCUGGAUCUGGAAAAUGAAGAGGUGGAACAAGGAGAGAUUCUACCUGUACGCGGCAGGUGGUGCCUGGGCCCAGAACAACUCAGGAUCCCAAUACCAGCCUUGCUACGGCUUGCAGAAAAACUAGUUGGCUCGGUUCUAUGGGUUUUCUUCACUUGUUGGUUUGUGGGUUGGUUUGGUGUUUUUUUCUUUCCAUGUGUUUAAGUAUAUAUGUCCUCUCUGCUUGCUGUAUGAAAAAGUCAUUAGGAGAACUAAACUGAAUAACUAGGUCUGUUUUGCUCUUAAGCAGUUUUUGCUGUGCCUCCUUCAUGCAGUUUGAGUCUCUUCUCCCUCCUCCUUUGUUAUAAAACACAGAUGAGUGCCAAUGUUGUUUUCCAAAUCAGAACAAGAAAUCUGACUUACAGCCCGAAGUGUAAUACGCACAAUACUGCCAAGGGAUAAGAUUUUGAAUGUUCUGAAGUAAUUGCUGUCACGUGCUAUAAACUGAAACAUGCAUCAUGUUUUUAGAGCGUAAAGAUCACUCUGAAGUCAUCAGUGAACAUGACCAGGCUCUGGAGGACGGAGGUGGAUGCAGCUCCACAGCUGGCAGACCGCACAGGUCUUCCUGUGGUGCAGCGGCAACGCGUUCAGCAUGCAGGAGACAGAUCCCAGUGACUCGUCUGCCUUUCUUGGGAAAGGGUGCUGCAGUUUCUCUUCUCCCUCCUGCAGAGCUCACGAUGAUGUGAUGUGGCAGGCUUCUAGGAUAGGAGCCAGUGGAAGGGGAAAGUCUCUUGACGUGGGAAUCCUGACUACCACGAGAGAAGCUAGUGGAAGGAGUCGAUAGUUGCUGCUCCUUGCUGCAGUUGCCAGGGUGUGAACAGAUAAGCAAGUCUGUUUCUGUCCCCUCAGUAUCUACUCAAGACACCGGAGAUCCCAGUUUUCCUCUGUACUUGCAAUGGAAAUAAGAAACAGGUGUUUUGGUUUUUUAGUGCUAAAGUACGUACUGCCCAGGCCCAGUCGAAACCAAGUUACGUGGGAAAGCCUCCCUCAUCUCACCUCACAGGGGUGUAUAACAGCGAUGCGGCAGCUUGGGGAAGGCUGAGUGCCAUUUCUUGUCUGGGCUAGUCAGGUCCUCUAAGGCAUCCCACCAACGCUUAAAGCCUUCUGCCUACACAUUGGUCUCUGCCCUGCACCCGACCGAUGACAAAUAUAGCCCAGCCGUUCUGGGCUUGGAAAGAUCUGCUUUUCUGCAGGCUUACUGUAUGAAUAGAAAAUCACGCCAAGCCCAUGCUCACAGCUGGAUUCAGAGGGGUCUCAGCCAGGGAUAAAUAAGAAAUACAAGCCAUGAAACUUCACCCAAUGUCUCAGGUACUUGAAAGGCCGUAUGCAGCAAAGUCUUUUCCAGUAAAUCUCCUCCGGUCCUUGGAGCUCAGUUCUGCUUCGGUUUGGCAGGGCUGGGUAUGCCCUAACCUGCCUCUCCUUUACUGCCUCUUGUUUGCUCUUGUUUUCCUCUGUGGCUGGCAGGCACCUUACUGAACUGCUCCCAGAUGCUUUUCGGGGGCAGUGGUGUCUUCCCCCCUCUCUGUAAGGGCAGCCAAGGGCUCUGACACCUAUGCCAAGCCAGGCCCUGCAAAACCAGACUUUAGUACCACCUGCUAGGCUACCUGAAUAAACGCCAGCAGCUUCCAGAGGUGGCAGGACCGAAAAGUCAGUCACCGUAUCGCUUGCGAUAAAUGCUUUUGAACAUCGAAGUUCUGUGUGGUAUGCCUGGCAGGUGAGGUAGAGAGGCUUCAGGGGCUCCUCAGACAGCUUGCAGAACUCACCACUGCUUUCACAACUGGCAAGCAGGAUUGCUUCAGCUGCCUCCCACUCACGCCAGAAAAGCUUCACACCUCUCUGUCCGAAGACAGCUAUAGAUUCCACGAAAGCUGCGGCAACAGAAGCUGCUCGGGUGAAUUAAGCAGUUCCAUCCACGAGCCUACCAGGUCUCUUACGCCUGAAGAUUAAUGGCCACUUUCACAGAAGCUGUGGAUUAAUGUAAAUGUCACCGCCUUGUAAAUAAGACAGCGUUGCUUUGUCCCACUUCCUCAAAACUAGGUAGGGAUCCACCUUUCAUUUUAAUGGUCUGAAUUUUGCAAUUGCUAUAUCCCCUUCAAGUGGAUUUUUCCACUGCUGUGUGGUUUUGAAUAUGUUCCUAAUCACGCUUGACAUGUCAGCUGCUGUCUUCGGUGUGGUUGCUAGCAUUUUUAAUGGGUACUCUAUUUACGGAGAAAGCAGCUGCCAGACUGGAAGGAAAAUCUUGCUCUCAUUAUUUUGUUAUUGAAAUAACUUGCACUGAAAUAAAUCUAAUAAA